rnacentral:rRNA from 1 species
UACGUAGGGGGCGAGCGUUGUCCGGAUUCAUUGGGCGUAAAGCGCGCGUAGGCGGCCCGAUAAGUCUGCUGUGAAAGUCCAGGGCUCAACCCUGGAAUGCCGGUGGAUACUGUCGGGCUAGAGUUCGGAAGGGGCAACUGGAAUUCUCGGUGUAGCGGUGAAAUGCGUAGAUAUCGAGAGGAACACCUGCGGCGAAGGCGGGUUGCUGGGCUGACACUGACGCUGACAGCGCGAAAGCUAGGGGAGCGAACGGG